CGACAAAACUCGAGUUGGGAGAAGUAGCGUUUCCUCAACACGCCCCCUCGGGACGCAUCCCAACGAGUACCAGAGUCAUCAGCAUGCUUCAUGCAAGGCCCACCGCACCUCAGCAACGAUUGAACUUCACCAUGCUCAGGCCCUUAGUGAGAGCAUGCAUGAACGCCCACUCCGUAGGGCAGUACUUCAACUGAUCGGCUGACAGGCUGAUCG
rnacentral:lncRNA from 1 species